AGCAGUAGCCACGGUAAUACGAAGGGGGCUAGCGUUGUUCGGAAUUACUGGGCGUAAAGCGCACGUAGGCGGAUAUCCAAGUCAGGGGUGAAAUCCCAGAGCUCAACUCAGGAACUGCCUUUGAUACUGGGUAUCUUGAGUAUGGAAGAGGUGAGUGGAAUUCCGAGUGUAGAGGUGAAAUUCGUAGAUAUUCGGAGGAACACCAGUGGCGAAGGCGGCUCACUGGUCCAUUACUGACGCUGAGGUGCGAAAGCAUGGGGAGCAAACAGGAUUAGAUACCCCCGUAGUCCCUGUCUCUUAUAC
rnacentral:rRNA from 1 species